GAUGAACGCUGGCGGCGUGCCUAAUACAUGCAAGUCGAGCGAACAGACGAGGAGCUUGCUCCUCUGACGUUAGCGGCGGACGGGCGAGUAACACGUGGAUAACCUACCUAUAAGACUGGGAUAACUUCGGGAAACCGGAGCUAAUACCGGAUAAUAUAUUGAACCGCAUGGUUCAAUAGUGAAAGACGGUUUUGCUGUCACUUAUAGAUGGAUCCGCGCCGCAUUAGCUAGUUGGUAAGGUAACGGCUUACCAAGGCAACGAUGCGUAGCCGACCUGAGAGGUGAUCGGCCACACUGGAACUGAGACACGGUCCAGACUCCUACGGGAGGCAGCAGUAGGGAAUCUUCCGCAAUGGGCGAAAGCCUGACGGAGCAACGCCGCGUGAGUGAUGAAGGUCUUCGGAUCGUAAAACUCUGUUAUUAGGGAAGAACAAAUGUGUAAGUAACUAUGCACGUCUUGACGGUACCUAAUCAGAAAGCCACGGCUAACUACGUG
rnacentral:rRNA from 1 species